GUCUUUAGGGCCUGAUCCAAAGUCCAUCUAAGUCAAUGGGAAUCUUUUAGCUGACUUAGAUGGACUUUGGAUCAGGCCCUUACCUAAC
rnacentral:pre_miRNA from 1 species